rnacentral:lncRNA from 1 species
GAUGUAGUCGUCGGUGUUGUCCGAUAAAACUCCGUCUGCAAAAAAAAAAGAGGAGGAAGAGAUGUACUAUACACCACCACUACUACUACAACUACUACGCUCUGAUAAGAAAUCACGUGGCGCACGGCGACGCGAUCGCUCCUUUUAUGGAGAUAUCGCGUCGGUUUCCAAACGUGAUGCAGGUGAUUAUUCCGUUUUUUCGGCAGGUGCUCACCGUCACGACUUACCUCUGAAAGAGUUAAAUAGUCCCGAUGCCGGCAUAGCGUCCUGCGUCCUGUCUGAUCCGCCGUUGAUAGUCCAAUCCAUGGUGAGAAGCUCGGUAGGUAGCUACAUACACUAACGCUGCAGCGUGGGCUGUGACUGAGAAUGAACAAGUAAGGGAGAAUAGGAAACCAGUUCCCACCUCCCCGUACGUUCCCUCCUCCUAUUCUGUGACGUAUCGAGAAUUGCGUAAUGCCCCCCUCUACCGACCUUCCUAACAUGGUUAAAAAAAGACACGUGCCGCACUCUCAUCCCACCCCCUUAAAUCUAACCGACGGAGGUGUAGAAUAAAGAUUAUAUAUAAACUUACCACUUUUGUCCUGGGUUAAAUCCGCUGACCCGUUCAUGUUCUUCGUGCGAUGGAUGAAACUGAAAAAAUAAACAAACGAAAAAAAAAUAAAAAAAAUAUCAAGAUUCGUGUCACAGUUAAUCCCUUAAAAUAUCGCUACUCGAGUAAUAAAUUUUUAAGAAUCCUUGUAAACAUAACUAUACCACGUUACUUCAAACGCCAACCGACUGUUACGAAUAUUUUGGGGAUCCCAGAGGUGUUCCCAGCCGAAACAAUCACGUGAUCUUAGCGUGUGUUUAUUGUGUUUAUACGUUAAGUAGACGAAACGGUAUCUACUUAAAACAUCCUUUCCGCGUAUGGUUAAAGAGUUUUUGUUUGAAGAGGAAACAGGAAAUGGAAAGUUUAUAAUAAUUUAAUAAUAAUAAUAAUAAUGGGUUUUGUCUUAUCUGUGUUGUUUUGCGCCAUUUUUGCAACCAAUAGUUGUUAAUGUAUAAGGAGCAUGGAACAUGGAAAAAUCGUUUAAGUCAAAAUUUAUUAGCUGAAAUUAAAUGUAGUCUCCAGAAACAUUUAGACUUAUUUUUUUCCAAUAUUAUAUGAGAGAAUUCAUUCCUUUGGCAUAAAACUUCUUUAACUGAGAUGUAAACCAGUUGUUAACUGUGAUGUAAACCAGUUGUUAACUGUUUCUUUCACUUCGUCAUCCGUUCAGAGCUUUUUCAAAGGAUCAAAAAUGCGAAAUCGCACGGAAAAAACCAGGACUAUAAGGAGGAUUGUCCAACACCUCUACAUAAUGCACCAGACUAUCAAACUUCUGUCGCAGUUUCAUCAGUAAUGGUGUAACAUGCUCUUCCAGGACGUGGACUAUCCGCAGUAGACUGCCUUUGAACUUUUUGCACCAGUUGUACCUUUGAGUUUUUUUGCACCAGUUUUUUUUACACAUUCUGGUCCAUAAACAACUCUCAUGCGCCGCAAUAUCUAACCAGCUGAUUUCCAUUCUGUAUACAGUACAGCACGUUUCACAAAUUUGGAUGAAUCCGUGACGAGCGGCGACAAUUUAUACACGCCAAGUAUUCUUACAAAGCUUCUUAUAAUAUGGUAAUCACGUGAUAUUUCACUUCCAGAUAUGCAAAUUUCAAUCUGAAUGCAGUAAACACUACUACAUAAAAAACCACACGGUUUCUGCUGACAUUUUCCAUUUUUCAUUUGAUCGCUCUCUGCAUUUUCCAAGCCGUACUACUCAUUCCAAAGAUUAAAUAAUAUCUACCUUAGAUAUCAAUGCAAUUUUAUAAUUUUUACAUAUUAUUCAUUAUUUUUUGAUCAAAAGUAUUUUUUUUUUUUUUAAUGGCCAGAAAAGGUUGCCGACCCCUGACAUAGAGAAUACGAUUCAACGAGC